rnacentral:tRNA from 1 species
UUAAUUAAAUCCAAAAAGAGGAAAAUCAUUGUUAAUGAUUAAAUUGAUUUAAAAUCUAAUUAAA